CAAGUAGGACAGGCAAUCGCGGCUGCAGACGCCGAAAGGCGGCAGACGAGGAAAGUCCGGGCUUCACAGGGCAGGAUGCCGGAUAACGUCCGGUGGAGGCGACUCCAAGGCCAGUGCAACAGAAAUAAACCGCCGGGAGAGAUCCCGGUAAGGGUGGAAAGGCAGUGUAAGAGACUACCGCCCUGCUGGUAACAGCAGGGGCACAUGUAAACCCCAUCCGAAGCAAGACCGGAUCGAAACAAUGUGGCUGCCCGUCACGUUUCAGGUAGGUCGCUUGAGCCUGGCGGCGACGCCAGGCCUAGACAGAUGAUUGUCCACGACAUAACCCGGCUUAUCGUCCUGCUUGGCAU
rnacentral:RNase_P_RNA from 1 species